UCAAGCAGCCGGCGAAGAUGGACGUGAGUGAUCACGUGAUAGAAGAAGGAUAGAAGCCAGCUUACAAAAUCAUGGAUUUGGAUGAUAUUUACCGCGUGUCAUAGAUCUUGAAUGAUUAUGAACAUAUUUCUUGAUGAAACAACCUGAGAAACCAUGAAAGACCCUUAAAUAAGGUCAAUCUUUUAGUUCAAAUCUGCACUAGAACUUCAAGAAAUUCAGCAUUUUGUAGAAUGAUCUGUCUCCACCUAACUUGGUCUCUCUUUAGACCUGAUACCAGUAUUGUCCUGAAUCUAUAAUAGAGGAUAUGACCUUUCUCUAUUGUGAGGACCUGACCAUGGUCCUCCUCCCUCAAAUUGAAGACUCACCAACUAGCUGUCCUUACAUUGGAAUUCUGGCAAAGCUUUUGAUACGUCCCUGUUUGCUUCUAAGUGGUGGACGGCUUUCAACCCUGGUUUUUUUCCUCUCCUUGCUGGGACAUAGGUUAGAGGUACAGAUGCCCCAGGCUGUUUCUUGGUUCCUUUACAUCUCUUUUUCAAGGAGUGUUUUUGCUUUUACUUCCUCUGGAACUUCUCCCCUUCCCUAAUUUCAGCGGAUCGUCUAGUCCGCCUGGUUGGCCUAGCGGAAACGGAAGCUUGUGUAGUCUGUUGGGUCUAGAGGUAGACUCCCGAUCUCUUAUUAGAGGAGGUGGUAGCUUGUGUGUCCACUUGAGCAGACUGGUCUCGCGCAAAUGUCAGCUGUCUUUCCUGUAGUUCCCUUUGAAAUGGGUCUCUUGGAUCUUCGCAGUCCAGGCAGUUCAACCAAGAAUGGACGGACUAGGUAGUGCCAUCCGACAUCGUUAUACGUCUUGGUGCAAUUCCCUGGCCACGACAAUACAGCUGGGGACAAGAAAAUAAGAUGCUCCUUAAAUCCAGCUAAAAUACGAGAGGGGACUCCGCCUGUCACACCUGACUGGGAGCUUCCCCACCAACAGCAAGGUCUCAUAUCCGAGAGGAAGAUUAUUAUUUGGUCUUUGAAAUUUAAAGAAGUUUGCUGUUUUCAUGGUACUGAAUUGAUUUUUCAAUGGCUGGAGCUUUGAACAAGAUAUACAGCAUAUGGAUGUUUGUACUUUAAUGAAGAAUUUUAAUAAAAUAAUUU
rnacentral:lncRNA from 1 species